rnacentral:rRNA from 1 species
AAAUUGAAGAGUUUGAUCAUGGCUCAGAUUGAACGCUGGCGGCAGGCCUAACACAUGCAAGUCGAACGGUAACAGGAAGCAGCUUGCUGCUUUGCUGACGAGUGGCGGACGGGUGAGUAAUGUCUGGGAAACUGCCUGAUGGAGGGGGAUAACUACUGGAAACGGUGGCUAAUACCGCAUAACGUCGCAAGACCAAAGAGGGGGACCUUCGGGCCUCUUGCCAUCAGAUGUGCCCAGAUGGGAUUAGCUUGUUGGUGAGGUAACGGCUCACCAAGGCGACGAUCCCUAGCUGGUCUGAGAGGAUGACCAGCCACACUGGAACUGAGACACGGUCCAGACUCCUACGGGAGGCAGCAGUGGGGAAUAUUGCACAAUGGGCGCAAGCCUGAUGCAGCCAUGCCGCGUGUAUGAAGAAGGCCUUCGGGUUGUAAA